UACGUAGGUGGCAAGCGUUGUCCGGAUUUACUGGGCGUAAAGCGAACGCAGGCGGACUGUUAAGUAGGAAGUGAAAGGUCGGAGCUCAACUCCAACAUUGCUUCCUAUACUGGCAGUCUUGAGUAGCGGAGAGGAAGGGGGAACGACACGUGUAGCGGUGAAAUGCGUUGAUAUGUGUCGGAACACCCAUGGCGAAAGUACCCUUCUGGACGCAAACUGACGCUCAGGUUCGAAAGCUAAGGUAGCGAACAGG
rnacentral:rRNA from 1 species